rnacentral:rRNA from 1 species
UACGUAGGGUCCGAGCGUUGUCCGGAAUUAUUGGGCGUAAAGGGCUCGUAGGCGGUUUGUCACGUCGGGAGUGAAAACACGGGGCUUAACCCCGUGCCUGCUUCCGAUACGGGCAGACUAGAGGUAUGCAGGGGAGAACGGAAUUCCUGGUGUAGCGGUGGAAUGCGCAGAUAUCAGGAGGAACACCGAUGGCGAAGGCAGAUCUCUGGGCCGUAACUGACGCUGAGGAGCGAAAGCGUGGGGAGCGAACAGG